rnacentral:rRNA from 1 species
UGCGUAGGUGGUCGGGUAAGUUUGAGGUGAAAGCUCCGGGCUCAACCCGGAAAUGGCCUCGAAUACUAUCUGGCUCGAGGGUUGGAGGGGGGACUGGAAUUCUCGGUGUAGCAGUGAAAUGCGUAGAUAUCGAGAGGAACACCAGUGGCGAAGGCGAGUCCCUGGACAACACCUGACACUGAGGCACGAAAGCUAGGGGAGCAAACG